UUAGGUGACACAGGAUUCAAGUCGGCUGAUAAAAAACGAAACAACACAAAGCCAACUAAGAUGAACAUCUCACUUCGCCAGCUGAUGAAACUGAUCGCCAUUAUAAUGGUUAUGCUAGUUUGCCCAUCCAGGUCCCAAUUUUAUCGAUUUGGUCGUAGUGCUGACAAAAUUGAGAGUAACCAACUACUGACAAGAGACAUGGCUGGAGAAAAAUAACUUGAUUAGAAAUG